CUUCAUGCAUUGUCGUAACUCCCAUGACGACUCUUAAAAGGGUGCCUCAGCUAGUCAGGGAAACAGUUGCCGACCAAAAGAGAUACAGUCUACUUGAUUCAGCUUUCUUGAAUGCCUAAUUAUUUCAACUUUCUAUCGGCCUGACCAAACGGGACCAUGUCUACCUUUGGCUACAGAAGAGAGCUUAGUAAAUACGAAUCCAUUGAUGAAGAUGAACUCCUUGCUUCUCUGACUGACGAGGAGCUAAAGGAGCUGGAGAGGGAGCUCGAAGAUAUUGAGCCCGACCGUAACCUUCCAGUGGGGCAAAGACAAAAGAAUCUAACAGAGAAAACUCCUACAGGAACUUUCAGCAGGGAAGCAUUGAUGGCCUAUUGGGAAAAAGAGACCAGAAAACUCCUAGAAAAAGAAAGGUUGGGGGCAUGCGAAAAGGAUUCAAAGCAAGAAGAUGAUAAUUCGGAAGACACUGAGGAAGAAUAUUUCACAGGAACUAACAGUGAAAUUUCCGAGGAGGCAUACACUGAAGAGGAGGAGGAGGAAGAAGAAAAAGAGGAAGCAGAAGGAAAAGAAGAAGAAGAAGAAGGAGGAGAAGAAAGUGAUGAAGAUGACUCAGAACAAAAGGAAAAUGCUGCCGUUUGUGAAAGGACUGUGACUUGUGAAAGUGACAGGAGUUCUGACCACUCGAAACGCAAGAAAUGCAACAUCCAGAAGGAAAAUGAAAAUGUCAUCAAUGGCGAUGGUGGCAAAGACACAGAAGACAUGAGCUUUAAAACGGGUGCCAUCCACCCUUGUGGAAACCCAACAGUUAUUGAGGAUGCUUUGGAAAAAGUUAGGAACAAUGACCCUGACACCACUGAAGUCAACUUAAAUAACAUUGAAAACAUCACCAUACAGAUGCUUACACAUUUUGCGCAAGCUCUCAAGAACAACACAGUGGUUAAGAUGUUCAAUCUAGCCAAUACUCGUGCUGAUGAUAGUGCGGCAAUUGCUAUUGCUGGGAUGUUAAAAGUGAAUCAGUAUAUAACGAGUCUGAACAUUGAUUCAAAUUUUAUCACAGGCAAAGGGAUAUUGGCCAUUAUGAGAGCUUUGCAGCAUAACAAGGUUUUAACAGAACUACGAUUCCACAACCAACGGCAUAUCAUGGGCAGUCAGGUUGAAAUGGACAUAGCUAAACUGCUGAAAGACAAUAUCACGCUGGUGAAGCUAGGGUACCACUUUGAGCUUGCUGGACCAAGAAUGAGCAUGACAAGUAUCCUCACAAGAAACAUGGAUAAACAAAGGCAAAAACGUAUGCAGGAGCAAAAACAGCAAGAGUCUGGUUGUGAUGGAGCAAUCAAUCCAAAGACCAAAGCCUUGCAGAAAGGAACUCCUGGGUCCUCACCUUACGCAUCGCCUAAGAGCUCACCUUGGUCCUCUCCAAAACUCCCUAAGAAAGCUCAGCCUGUCAAAAUUCAGCCUCCAGCUCCGCCUUCACCUCCUCCUCCCCCUCCCCCACCACCUCCACCACCUCCCCCCAUUGUUCCAGAGAAAAAGGCGCCAACAAGGAAUAUAGCUGAAGUCAUCAAACAACAGGAGAGCUCCAAGAAUGCCUUACAAAAUGGACACAAAAAGAAAAAAGGCAAAAAAAACAAAAAGCAUGAGAAUAGCAUAUUGAAAGAAAUUAAAAAUUCCUUAAGAUCAGUCUCAGACAAGAAAUCAGAAGAAGGAUCGCGACCCUCUACCCGACCCUCCACCCCACAAAUGUCUCUUCAUGAUAGCCUUAUGGAAGCAAUUCGGGGAAGCAGCAUAAAACAGUUAAAGCAGGUGGAAGUUCCAGAAGCUCUUCGAUGAAAGCAUGGAAUAUAGAAGAACCAAAGCUCUACAGUGGUGAAGGGAAGGUUACUGAGUUGUUCAAUGAUGGCUUUUGAGGCCCAAGGCACAAUCCACAGCCAGCCUCCCUCAAGCCCACGGAGGUUUGAAAUCAGGAUGCUUAAAGGGUGGAUGCAAUAUGGCAACCUUACAGUGGAACACAGACUGCCACCAGGACGAGGCAUGCGAGCCCAAGGUAUUUUGCACCAGGAACCCAUUCUGAAAUUAUGCGACAGCAAGAUGAGAGAUGGUGCAGAGCGGUUUGAGAAGGGAUCUGACAAGAAUGAGUAUGCCUGCUGCACUGGCAGAGGGACUGUUGGAGCUACAGAUUGAGAAAAGCGGUCAGAACGAAGGGUGUUUGUAUACAUGCAUUAGGAGAGGAGUUGAAAGCUAGAGCAGAGCUAUGAGGAUGUGUAACAGUAAAGACAGGGAAACAGUGACGAGA